GGGGAUAUAACUUAAUGGUAGAGUGCAGUACUUAGCAUGCAUGAGGUCCUGGGUUCUAUUCCAGUACCUCCA
rnacentral:tRNA from 1 species